GGGGGUGUGGCUCAGCGGUAGAACAUCUGCUUAGAGUGCAGAAAGUUCCAGGUUCAAUCCCUGGCAUCUCCG